AGAGCCCCGCGGACCAGAGAGAGGAAGGGAACGCCAGAGCAGUCCCUGGCAACAGAGGGAUCUGGCAGGAAAGACCUGGAAAAUAAGGGGCAGGGGGGCGGAGGGGGAGAUUCCUCAGGAGAUGGGAAAUGGGGGGCCCAUUCAGACAGCGGAAAAAACGAGAAGGGAGAGUGUUAACUAGGGACGAAGAUGGGAAUGCGAUGGCUAUUUGCUUGGAUUCUGAGCUAAAAAUAUGAAAGGGAGGGGAGAGGACAGGCUAGAAUGUGAGUUUCCUCCAGUUAAAAGUGAAAGUGUUUUGCCAUCAGUGACAGUUGAAGGAGAGCGGGGUGGGAGGUGGUGUUUUCAACCCCCUUUCUCCCUCUCUCCCGUCCUCCCUCGGUCUCUCCUCUUUCUUUCUGCACUUUGUCCAAUGAAAGAAGGCGAGUUCGGGAGGUGAAAGUUCAGCAGAAGGACAAACCCCUGUUUGCAAGGAAACAGAAACCCCGCCAGCCAGCGAGGGGUUUUCUCCCCUGUUUCUCGGAAUCAGGAGAGUGUGAAUGUGGGACGAGCUUCUGCCCCCUUGUCAGAGCCACUGCAGGAAUGUGCAAUCGAGUCCACUUUGGGGGAAGGUGGCUGCAUCAGGAACUGUGUUCUUGCCACGACUCCUCUUAGGAAAACGCCUGGGGGCUAGCAUGUCAGUCCGUUGUUUAACACAAAUUACCUGCUCUCCCAGUGAUCAGUCACGUGCAAAAAGCUUUGUCCAAUUCUUUGAAAAGAUUAAGCAGUGUGUUUAUUAAAAAUUAUUAUCAUCGCAAUACUAAAAAGAUCUUUAGAUUGCUGCUAAUCUGAUUCUGCAUUUUAACUGCCUUAAAUUCUACAUUCACUUGCAAGUGGGGGCCACAGUCAGGUUGGCAACAAGUUUUGCAGACAAAAGGAAAUCCUGGUUGUAAAUCCCAUGAUAUAUUGUACUCAAUUUUGUAUGAUACUGUCUAAUGUGCUGUGCUGCCUUAUUAAAGAACUCGAUGUCCAUUUGGUUUACAUUAGAGGGAAACUUAACUGCAGCUUAACAUAUUGUUCAUUUUCAACACUGUCACGUUACAUUCGUGGGGGGCAGAUUUUAAUUUCUUUAUCAGUAAUCAACUGGAAGUUUCUUUUUGUUAAAUUAAAGCAAGAAAGGUUUUAAAAUAAAGGGCAUGGGGGUAGGACGCCACCUUUUGGUGAUAAAACAAAUAGAAAUCCCUUCUGAAAACAGAUGUUCCUGACAUAAUUUUAUUUUUAAUUACACCAAGGCAAAGGUGCUUGUCCCCAUUUCGUUAUAUUUUAAGUAACAGGAGAAAAAAAAAACCAAUGUAAAUGCAAAAUUAGCAAAUUAUAGUUAACUGCAGCCAAAAUUUUCCCAAACGUAUCAGAAUAUGUUAGUCCCCUGUCACAUUACUGUUGAUUGUAUACACCAAACAUGAGCUUCAUUCACCAAAUACCAUGUCACUAAAUAUAUGUACAUUUGGGGAACAGAAACUGGAGUGGACAUUUACCACCUGACGACGUACCUGAAUGCUCUUGUAAGUUUUGAGUUGAACAAAAACUAAAACCACUUAAUUUAGUGUUUCUUUAACCACAGUUACUGGUGUCCUGAUUUUUGCCAUAUCUAUAUGACAUAACAGUUCCCGAAUAAUUAAUAUACCAUACUCAUUGGAGGCCACUUAUUAUGGUAAUUGUAGCAAACAUUUUCAUUUAAAUCAACCUUCUUUUAAUUUUUUUCUAUUACUGCCUUAAAUGGGAAAUCAGUAUCACCCACCAUAAAUUAAAAACAAGCACAGUAAAAACAAAGUCACUGAUUUCUCUUUGAGGGUCAAAACAAAAAUUAAAAAUGAUUUUUGAAAAAAGGAGGGAGAGUGGCAAAUGUUGAGAAGGGUUAAGGACAAGAGUAUCAAUGGAAAUUUUUGAAUUUUUGUUUUUUCUCUCUCUUUUUUUCUGUUUUUUUUUUUUUUUUUUUUUUAACAACCAGAAGGAUUUAAAGUGAUCGGAAAGGAAUACAGUUCUCAAUGUGUGAUUCAGUGUUAUGCCAUCCUAGUGCCAAGGUUCCUACACUUUAAAAAACAUGGGCAUAACUAAGAAUAUCGCAUUACAGAUGAGGAAUCUAAGGCCCAGGGAUUUCAUUUGCCCUCCAAGGCAAAAUAAAUUUGGUUACUGGUUGGACAAGGAUUAGAAUCCAGGUGUCCUGACUUUGUGGGUUUCCAUCUCACUCUUUCCACUAAAGUGACCAAUCCUCAGACUUAAGUGGUUUGUCUAGCUUCUCAGAAACAGCUAACCUACAGACCCCUUUACAGAUCUGGGAGAAACUGAGGCCACAGAGGGUCAAGAACAAGUUCAACCCCCUGCUCACCGUCCUUUCUCUCCACCCUCUCUCCAUAGAUGUGACAGACAUCCAGGUGGGGGUCAACACAGCAAAGAAAGAAGGGAGGGUUGAGAAGAGAAAAGUGGAUUCAGAGAGGGGAGGUUAGUAAGCGUGGGCAGACCAUUCUCUAAAUGAAAGCUUAAACUCAGUUGCCUUCCAAGAAGAUAAAAAUGGCUAAUGAAAAUCAUGUGCUUCACAGUAAGUGGUAAGAGGAGCCCAUCCUCUGUGUCCUCAUGUCCCUAUAUGUCCACACCGGAAAUCAGCAGGGGAUCUCUUGUUUUAAAGUAUACAAUAUUAACAGGCACACUCUGAGACAAAACCACAUUUGAUAAUUUGAGUGGGUGGAAAAGCUAGUCAGGGAACGGGGAAUGACCCUAGCUUAAAAAGUGUUUUCCCCCACAACAAAACUUAAGAGGCUCAGAGUUAAAUCUAGAAACAAUAGUGCUUUUUCUGUUUUUCUAACUGGAGAGUGAGACCUUAGUUACCAAGACUGCACUUGCUGCUUUUUUUUAAAGUAUGCAGUUAUAUAAACAUAAAUAAAUAUGGCCUGCAAAUAUUUUUAUGUUUUUCUAAAUUGGUGAUUGUGAAAAGAGGUUGUGCAUGACUGUACUGUAUGAACAUGGGUCUCAGUGGACUGUAAUCCUCAUAAACUACAAGGUACGGUGAAGCAUUUGGCCAAGUAUCAUCAAUCCAAAAAGCUGUUCUAAUGCCCUGAGCAUUCCCAGUGCAACGUUGGUACCUUGGAAACAUGUAAAAGGAGUAUGGGUGGCUCAACCCCAUCUGCUACAGGUACUAGAACAAUCUACAGCCUUACUAUGCAAAAUGAGAUGUGCUGACCUGCAGAGCACCACCUCCAGGUUAUGUCAAAAAUGCAGAAUGUCAGGCCCUACCUCAGACCUAGUGAAUCAAAUAUCUGUAUUUUAAAAAAAUCACCCAGCCAAGUCUCACACACAUUCAAGUUGGACAAAGGUGAUCUAUAGUACAUGUGGCCCCUUAUACAACAGGCUGCAUCUCAAUAUCUUGAUAGCCUUAAACUAUUUCACAGGUAGUCCUGUAAGUCUGCCAUACAUGAUUCUCCAAACUGGCAUCUUUUAUAAACUUUGUUGGUUCCUUAUUUUUCAACCAUUUGCAAAGUUAAGUCACUCAAUCACCUAUGCAAACCAUAAUUAAUUCCUUUGACAUUAAUAGUCCGGUGACUUCUCUCUCCUGUUACCCCAAAGAGACUGCUAAUUGCCCUCCAAUUGUUUACCUUUGUAUUGUUUUAUGAGAGCUCAGAGAAAGAUGGAAGAUACUCUCCACCAGGCCAGAAACAAAUGCCAGACAGGUUUUGAAAAGGCUGAACACAUGCUAUGACUACACCUUGUUAGUAGAAGGGCUUUGCUUUCUUUGUUUUGUUUUCUUUUUUUAUGGAAGGGAUGACGCCUCCAUAAUUAUAGGUGCUGCUGUUUAAAACCCAGAGUGUUUUCCAAACCACUGAGGGGCCACACCUCCAGCAGCCCAUGAGCCAUCCUGGCUGGAUUAUCUUUCCAGUUCUCUAAACAGUUCAUCAAGCAGUACUAGAUUUACAUUAAGCAUAACGAGAGUAAGGGACCCCAUCCAAGUAUGGUUUCUUUCUGAAUAAACAUGAAGGACUCACAGGUAAACCUCACAGCUGAAGGUUAAUUUGUAUCUGUGAAGUUCUCAGAAAGACUGUAGUAAAGGCCCCUCACCCACCUAACAAGACAGCAGGUUACUUUUGUAACACCCCCCCAA
rnacentral:lncRNA from 1 species